UUCUUGUGUUGUGCAGGUCUCUAUUUAUAGCACUGGGUUGGGACUAGGGUUUGUUGAGAAUGAGCAGAAAAUCAGUAGCUUGUGGAGGAGAAAAGGGACUUGUUUCUGUUCCGGUUUUUUGCAGGUAAGGCUGGGAAUUGGAUUGGGAUGGAGAAAGAAAGAAAACGCGUACUGGAUUUGCUUCAGAGGAAGCGUGAACUGGAUUUUGACUGGAACAGCAUACGCGUGAUGCUGUUGUUCUGAACCUGGACACUUUUGGAUUUUUGGACUUUUUGGGACUUAAAAAAAAAAGAAAAAUUAAUUAAAAGGAUAAUAUCUACAUUUUUGGUUUUAAAUAAAAAGAAAAAUUUAAAAUGGGAAUAAAAGAAAUUUAGUCUAACUUGGACUAAAAUUAAAAUUAGAGUUCUAAAUUAAAAGAUGGAAAUAAAUAAUUAAAGACUGAGAGAAGAGGGCCCGAUUCGGAACUUUAUGAGGUAUUUCAAAAUACCUCCCUGCCGAAUUUUUCACUGAAAUGUGAGUCUGGUCCGAGUUCGGAGACGUGUGUCAGUGGGACCUUAGGUCAAAAAUUGGGGUAUGACAGAUGCCCCUAUUUAAGUUUCUUCGUUCAGAGAUUUGAAGAUGGAAUCUUUGAUUCGAUGAGCCGAAGAGACUUAAAUACAAAAGUGCACCAAUUUUGACCUAAGAUACUAUGAAUGUUCAUGAUGUAAUUAUGAAUGCAUGAUGACAACGGUGACCUGGCUGGGAUAAAAACACUGGGAUACCCAAAUUCUUUGAAGAAAGGGAUCCGACUCUGCUAGGGGAAUACAGUUUCAAUGGGGAAAAGGGUUGUCUACUAUCUGGAAAAUAGCUGUAUGAAGGCAAAAUGACAUAGAUUAGACAUAAUGAGGAUGACACUUGCGAGAGAAUGAAGAGUAAACUCAAGCGUCCGUUUGUGGACUGGUGACUUGAAGCAAAAUAAAAGGUAAACUCAAGUGUCCGUUUGUGGACUGGUGACUUGAAACAAUAUAAAAAGUAAACUCAAGUGUCCGUUGGUGGACUGGUGACUUGAUAAAGGUGAAUAUAGGUUGUUCGUUCGUUGGAACUGGUCAUUCGUUAUAAAGAAGGGAAAAAAAUAAACACAAGUUGUUCGUUCGUUGGAACUGGUUACUUGAAAUAAAAACAUAAGCUGUUUGUUGGUUGGAACUGGUUACUUGAAAUAAAGAUAAAAGAUAGACACAAGCUGUUCGUUGGUUGGAUUUGGUCGCUUGAAAUGAAAACAUAAGCUAUUCGUUGGUUGGAACUGGUUACUCGUUAUAAGGUAAAGAGAUAGAUACAAGCUGUUCGUUGGUUGGACUUGGUCGCUUGAAACAUAAGCUGUUCGUUGGUUGGAACUGGUUACUUGUUAUAAGGUAAAGAGAUAGAUACAAGUUGUUCGUUGGUUGGAACUUGGUCGCUUGAAAUAAAACACAAGCUGUUCGUUGGUUGGACUUGGUCGCUUGAAAUGUUUGAUUGGUGACAUCUCUGGAACAGCUACACUGGGGAUGACGUUUCGGAAUUUGAAAUUGAUUAGUGGCAUAACUAGCACGGCUAUUUCCGGGGAUGACACUUUUGAAUUUGAAAUUGAAAUUGACAUUGAUUAGUGACAUAACUAGCACGACUUUUUCGCCGGGGAUGACACUUUUGAAUUUGAAAUUGAAAUUGACAUUGAUUAGUGACAUAACUAGCACGGCUUUACGCCGGGGAUGACACUUUUGAAAUUGAAGUUGAAAUGGAAGACGCUCAUUUGUAGAAACUUGCGGCUUGACACAAUGGUAAGCUUUGACUGAUGCAAUUAUGUGUGAAUUGAUGUUAUGCAUAUGUCGUGUACGCAUAAACGUAUGAUUAUGUGAAAAUAUUGGUGAAUGCAUGAUUGUAUGAAUGUAUGGAUAUAUGAAUGUACAUGACACGUGAAUCGAUGAACCGAGACAAGACAGGUAAGAUGGGAGUCGGACCGACAUUGCAUUACAAACACUCGGCAACCUUCCUUGGAGAUGAUAUUAUUGUGAGCAAAUCGAGCCGUUGAUGGUGUAAGAACCUGGCACUAGGUAGCCACCGAUGCCUCCUGGGGGGUGAGCCCAUUGUUGAUGAAAGAAGUCUGGAAGAAGUCGCCAUUUGUAAACCGGCACAGAGUGUCCUUCCAUUGGUAUGCUUCAGCAGUCAUGCCUUUUGUUUUAUUGAAAAAUCCCUAACUUUUGCCUGGAUUGCCCUUUCGGGUUUUCAGUCCACCGGGAAUAUAUUCUUUUUUCUGCCCCUAAUUUUUGCCUGGACCGCCCUUUCGGGUUUUCAGUCCACCGGGACGCUCUCUGUUGCCUAAGUCGCCUUUUCAGGUUUUCAACUUAGCGAGCUUCUUUGUAUUAUUUUUUGUAUUUUUUGACUGUGACAGCAUUUUGUUCAAAGUAUAGGACCUCUCCAUAGUACUUAGUCAUGUUUCUCUUCCGGAGUGUAACCGUUCUCGAGGCGGAUGCUGAUGUAUACUUCACCUACUCACGAGUUCAAAGAGAAUGUGUUUGUUGUUCACACUUUUCAAGAGAUGUAAAAAAAAGUUUUGUAUUUUGAAAUUUUUUGCUUUAAGAAGAAAUUAUGCAAAUAGAAUAAAUGAGAGUUCCAAAUAAAUGGGCACAGGCUCAAGUUUGAUGAAUUGAGUGGUGACCUGCCAAGGGCAUGGCUCCACGGAUUUUUUUGAAAAUUUUGGAAAAAUGGUAAAUGUAAUGGGGAGGGUACAUUGAACACAGUAACCAUUAUUCUCCCUAACAACUUUGAAUGCCCCUGUUCCGAGUCUUUGAUCUGCAGAUGCUUCGAGUCGGAGGUCUUUUGAUAGCUGGAUGCCCCAAGUGGAUUGUGCUUGACCGGAUGCAGUUACUUUGUCUUUUUGAUCCUUAACUUUUGCAUAGAUCGCCCUAUCGGGUUUUCAAUCUAUCAGGAUAAUCAUUUUUGUUCAUGUCUCUAACUUUUGCCCGGACCGCCCUUUUGGGUUUUCAGUCCACCGAGACGCUCAUUUUUGCCUAAGCCGUACUUUAAGGUUUGCGACUUAUCGAGUUUUAUUAUUUUUUGAUAAAGUAUUUCUUGACCGCACCGGCAUUCAUAGGAAGUGCGAGUUCGUCAUCCAUAGUUGGAGAAGUUAUUGCACACGAUCCUUCAUAGUUAGGCGUCCACUUGCCCCUGGAGUCUGAUUUGGAAAUAUAGUAUCCUUUUGAGCACAAAGUCUCAUUCUUGAAUUUCACGGGGACGAACCUUCUUGUUGGAAGUUUGUUUUCAAACUUUUUUGACAUGAUUGUACAAGGUCGUCAUGCAUUUUAAGUUUGUUCAAGCUUGGACUUUGACAUAACUCCUAUUGUUGGGACUUUGAUCGUGCGGGAAGCAUCACCUCCCUGUUGUAUACUUGAGGGAAAGAGGGGGGGUGCCCCUGUUGAAAUGUGUACUGAAGCACGAUAUCCGAGCAAAGCGAAUGGCAGCACCUCGAACUAGUCUUUGUAAGUGAGUGCCAUCUUCUGGAUUAUCUUCAUGAUUUUUGUUUGGUAGCUUUGAUGGCUAGAUGCCCCAGUAGGCGAGAGAUCUUGUCAUGAGUCUCUUCAUCCAUGUCUCUUUCAGCUUCGGAUACAAGGAACUCAAAGUUGGAAGAGAGUACCUGGUAAAUGUGUUCAACGGGUUUAUUAAUGCAUGAUUUAUUGUUGAUUUUGACAAGUAAACAAAAGUUAUGAUUAUGCAGAUAUUUGUGAAUGAUUAAUUAUUUUUUGGGUUUUUUGUAUUACCAUUUUUCCAAGAAAAAGCACAAAAUGAAAAUAAAGUCGGGAUCAAAACGACCUUUUUAUUAAUGAUGACAAAUCUUAAAGCAAAAAGCCCUACACUAGUUCACUUUCAUCCUGGGCGGGAUGAAAGGAUGUUUUUUUGAAAAGGUAAUAAACGAACAAACACAUCACUGGAAACAAAUUGAAUAGCAGAAGACAAAACGUCGACCCAAUUGCAGCUACACACUCGGAUUCAAUUUCUUGAAAUGCAACACAUUGUCGUCGAUCAGCUUCUGGACUUCAAUUUCCUAGGAGAAACAGUGCUCAACGUCAUGACCUUGUGCCCCUUGAUGGAAGGUGCAAGAGAGAUCCUGUCUCCACCUAGUCGGCAAUUUCUUGGGUAUUGUUGACCAAUCGUCCUUCUCGGACUCCUUCUUCCAAUUGUACACCCAUACCAACCAUCUCAGCAAAGUUCUUGGGCGUGCUUCCGACCAUCUUCUUGUAGUAGAACUGAUUGAGAGUUUUUAAGAAGAGCUUGGUCAUUUCUUUCUCUUCUACAUGCGGGCUGACUUGGGCAGCGGUAUCCCUCCAUCGCUGGGCAUACUCCUUGAACGUUUCCUUGCUCUCUUGAGUCAUAGCCUGAAGAUCACUUCGGUCCGGCGCCAUAUCCAUGUUAUAACUGUAUUGCUCCACAAAAGCUUCACAUAGAUCACGAAAAGUUUGGAUUCUCGUUUUCUCUAGAUUCGUGUACCAUUUUGAGGCGGGACCAGCCAGACUUUCUUGAAAGUAGCAAAUGAGGACCUGAUCGUCUCGAGCAUAUGCAUACAUCCUUCUUACAUACAUUUUCAAAUGUUCCUCGGGGCAGGAGUUCCCUUUAUACUUCUCAAAAUCUGGGAUCUUGAACUUGUGAGGUAUCUGGACAUUCGGCACCAAACAGAGAUCAUAAGCGGUCUUUCCAAAUUUUUCUUUCCCACGGAGAGCCCUCAUUUCUCGAUGCAUUUCAUCAUAUUUUUCCCGUAAGUCAUUCAUUCUAUCAUCGGACUCCAUGUUCCCUGAAUGGAAGAUGGGUUCUUCAUUUUGUGGAAUGGUAUGCAUCAUAGGUGUUGAAUAAGUCAUGACAACUGGAGGAGCUCUUACGGGAAGCGGAGGAACAUGAGCUGCAUAUUGAUGAGUAGUGUCGCGUCAUUUUUCGGAGAUCAAGGCUAUUUGAUUAGCUUUUGACUCACUAAUUUAUUUCACGACUGAACAUUUAUUUUUUAAGGAAAAAGGGAAAAAAGUUCAAAACAUCCCAUAUUGAAAAGAUUUAGGGUUCGGGGGUUAGUUACAUAAAGGGAAGGUAUUAGCACCCUUUAUGUUCGUAGUACUCUACGAGAACCUCUUGGUUUUAUUUAAUUCAAUGUGCUAUAACUUGCUUGCUUAUUUUGAAAAGAAGGAAUUAAUAUGAUGAAAAAAAGAAAAUAAAGUGAGACCUAAUUUAUCUACAUUUUUUAUUGUUUGAAAGGACAUGGUCCUCUGCCUACGUACCCGUGAGGGAUCAAAACCUCGUAGUUCCGGGUAAAAAUUGACAUUUGAUUGGUUGUGUGUUUUUUAUUAGUUUUGAAACAGGUUUUAAAAAUAAAAGCCAAGUGGCAAAUAAGAAUUUGUUUGUGUUUUUUAUUAAAAGAGAGAUGACUCGAAGUUGAUUUAAAGUUGAUUGCAAUUUUGAUUAAGAAAAUAAAAUAAAAAGGACGAUCACUUGAUUUAGGAUCAAGGUUUAUUUUAAAAAAGUAUUUUUAUGAUUUUUUUUGGUUAUUUGCAUGUUUUUGUUGUUUUUUUGAAUAAUUGCUAAACUAACGGAGCAAGAAAAUAAAACGUAAUAACCUAAGCAGAAAAGUAGAGCAUGCACCCACACACGCACACAUGCACCUAAACUAUUACAAAAAAACCUAUUUACAUUCUAAGGUCUGCAAAAAAAAUAAAUGACAAGAAAAAGUAAAUAAAUUAUUUACAUCAAGGCCUAAUUUACAUUCUAACAUGCAUGAGAGAACAUAAAUUAAUAAUUACAAUGCUAAACGAUAAAUAAAAUGUAUGCAAGACUUGAAAGAAAUAAAUAAAAGGUUCAAUCACAAGGUGGGAGGUGUAGCAGUAUUAUGGGGUGUGCAGAAAGUAAAGAAAACAGGUUUGGGCCUAGAUAGAAACGGAGCGGGUCAUGGGUUAAGCCUAGCGGGUCGACCCGGAUUUGAGAGGUAUAUAAAGGAUGUGAACCCUAAUUUCCUCAUUUUUCUUUUCCUUUUCUCUCUCUUCUUCCUUAAAUCUCUCAAACUCUCUCUAUUCUUUCUUCCUUCUCCGGCGGAAAGGUGAGGGGCCGGUGGGAUUCCGGCGCGGUGGCCGGCGAGCCAUCGCGGCUGCGCCGCCGCGCCGGAGCUAAAAAGCUCUCCUUUUUUGAUUUUUUUUUUGGUUUUAAGACCGGCUUGCUCUCCUAACUUCGUUUCUUCACUCACAAAACUCAAAUACUACACCUAAAUUUCUAGAUCUACAAAAAAAAGGUGCGAAAAUUACCCCCUUUGUGUGUGCGUCGCUUCUGUAUGCUUGCUGUUUGGCUUUGCUGCGAUGUUGUUACCGCCUGUGUGUGCGGUUGCGGUUCUGCUUCUUAUGCGCGUCUCUCUGGCUUCUGUUGUGUGUUGUGUUGCGAUGCCGUCCUCUGUUUUUCGUGUUUUUCUUUGUGUUUCUUUCUGGCUUUUUGUGCGCGCUGCUGUGCUCUCUUCUCUUUCUUGUGUUGUGCAGGUCUCUAUUUAUAGCACUGGGUUGGGACUAGGGUUUGUUGAGAAUGAGCAGAAAAUCAGUAGCUUGUGGAGGAGAAAAGGGACUUGUUUCUGUUCCGGUUUUUUGCAGAUAAGGCUGGGAAUUGGAUUGGGAUGGAGAAAGAAAGAAAACGCGUACUGGAUUUGCUUCAGAGGAAGCGUGAACUGGAUUUUGACUGGAACAGCAUACGCGUGAUGCUGUUGUUCUGAACCUGGACACUUUUGGAUUUUUGGACUUUUUGGGACUUAAAAAAAAAAGAAAAAUUAAUUAAAAGGAUAAUAUCUACAUUUUUGGUUUUAAAUAAAAAGAAAAAUUU
rnacentral:lncRNA from 1 species